UGGUGCAUGGUUGUCGUCAGCUCGUGUCGUGAGAUGUGGUUAAGUCCCGCAACGAGCGCAACCCCUAUUGUAGUUGCCAUCAUUCAGUUGGGCACUCUAGCGAGACUGCCGGUAAUAAACCGGAGGAAGGUGGGGAUGACGUCAAAUCAUCAUGCCCUUAUGACCUGGGCUACACACGUGCUACAAUGGUUGGUACAACGAGUUGCGAGUCGGUGACGGCGAGCUAAUCUCUUAAAGCCAAUCUCAGUUCGGAUUGUAGGCUGCAACUCGCCUACAUGAAGUCGGAAUCGCUAGUAAUCGCGGAUCAGCACGCCGCGGUGAAUACGUUCCCGGGCCUU
rnacentral:rRNA from 1 species